UAGUUUUUUUCAGAAAUAAAUUUAAUUUACAAAUUUUUAAUUUAUAUUUUUUUUUAUUAAAUUUAUAAAUUUAUUAAUUUGAAUAUUUUAAGGGAUAAGCUUUAAAAUAAAAUUAUUAAAAAUUUUAAAUAAUUAAUUAAAAAUGUAUGUGUAGAAUUAGCAACCAUUUAAAAGUUUAUUAUAAAUUAUUUUUAUUAUUCUAAUAUUUAUUAAAUUUUAAUUAUUUUAUGAAAAUUUUUUUAUAAAUUUGUUAUAAAAAGUGAUAAUGAUUAAAUUAGUAUAUAAAAUAAAUGUUUAGAUAAAUUAUUUUGGAAAGUUUAUAUAAAGAACUCGGCAAAUUUAAUUAAUUUAUACUCGCCUGUUUAACAAAAACAUGUCUUUUUGAGUUGUAUUUAAAGUCUGACCUGCCCACUGAAUGAAAUUUAAAUGGCCGCAGUAUUUUGACUGUGCAAAGGUAGCAUAAUCAUUAGUUUUUUAAUUGAAGGCUGGUAUGAAUGGUUGGACGAAGUAUAAGCUGUUUCAUGUAAAUUUUGUAUAGAAUUUUAUAUUUUAGUCAAAAAGCUAAAAUUUUAUUAAAAGACGAGAAGACCCUAUAAAUCUUUAUAAUUAUUAUUAUUGAAUUUUUUUGGAUUUAUUUUAUUUUUAUAAUAAUAAUUAUUUUAUUGGGGUGAUAUUAAAAUUUAAUGAACUUUUAAUUUUUGAAAAUCAUUAAUUUAUGAAUUAUUGAUCCAUUAAUAUUGAUUAUAAGAAUAAGUUACUUUAGGGAUAACAGCGUAAUUUUUCUUGAGAGUUCAUAUCGACAGAAAAGUUUGCGACCUCGAUGUUGGAUUAAGGUAUAAUUUUGGGUGUAGCUGUUCAAAUAUUAAGUCUGUUCGACUUUUA
rnacentral:rRNA from 1 species